CAGCAGACACAUUCCAGCCAGUCAGCAGCAGACCCUCCCUCUCAGACCCUCCCACCUCCUGGACAGCAUCCAUUUUACAUUCAUUGUGAAGCUGCAUUCUUAGUGAGCUGUCCAGGAGGUGGGAGGGUCUUGGAGGGAGGGUCUGCUGCUGAUUGGCUGGAAUGUGUCUGCU
rnacentral:miRNA from 1 species